UGCGUUUGGGGUCAUCCGGGGAUAUAAUUCAACCGACGCGUUUGUCGAGGCGGGCUAGCCUUGCUGUUGCGCCGGCAGAAAAGCGUGCCGCUGGCCUGUGGGAUGAUACGGAGUUUCGGUGACAGGGAAGAAAGCCAGGGCUGCGAGCCGUAGCGGAAUUGCAUGCACGAGAUGGAGGGGUAUGUCCGGGGCCAUGAUGGAAAUUGGAGAGGCGAGUGCGCGGGAAGGGCCGGUGACGGAGUGUUCAGGUACAGGAAAUGCUAAAUCAAGCUUUCCAUCUGUGGCUUCUGGCACAAGUGAAUAAUUGGCCUUCGCACUAUCAGGCGUGGCAUCAAUGCAUAAACCACGAAAGGUUUACCUUUCCUUGUUUUCUGUCCUUCGUGGACAUCUACUGCGUGGCAACUCAUGAGUGUGUAAAGCGUACCACCUGAGUUGCUUCUGCAAAGCAGCAAUGAGGGGGCAGAAACGCUGACAUGAGGCGAUCACAUCCGUGGUUGAUUAAUCUGCCAUGUGCACCGCCACUACCAUCGUACCUUGUCUUUGUUCACAGAUUUCGGUCCAAUUUGCCCAACACGGC
rnacentral:lncRNA from 1 species